GACGGAGGAUGCAAGCGUUAUCCGGAAUUAUUGGGCGUAAAGCGUCCGCAGGUGGCUGUUCAAGUCUGCUGUCAAAGCGCAGAGCUUAACUCUGUACAGGCGGUGGAAACUGAAUAGCUAGAGUAUGGUAGGGGUAGAGGGAAUUCCCGGUGUAGCGGUGAAAUGCGUAGAUAUCGGGAAGAACACCAGUGGCGAAAGCGCUCUACUGGGCCAUAACUGACACUGAGGGACGAAAGCUAGGGGAGCAAACGGG
rnacentral:rRNA from 1 species